CCAAAACAAAUGGAUACUUCUUAGUUUUCUUAUCACAAAACAUAAAUUUCAGGUAUUUUUGGGAGUUAACGCUUAAAAAUGCGUCUGACCAAGAUCUGGAAGAACCGAGCUCCGGGUGACCGUCACCUGAGCACGUACUUUUGCUUUGCGGCCCUAAGGUUUGUCCUUGUUUUUGUUCCCCAACUGGGGUAUGUGCAUCCUGACGAGUUUUUCCAAAGCGUGGAGGUAAUGACAGGUGACCACUUUCGGCUGGAGCACACUCGGACCUGGGAAUUCAACAACUCGAUGCCGGUGAGAAGCAUCACAUUACCUUUUGCGUUACUUCGAGUGCCCUGGAGUUUCUACGAGUUCAUCGCCAUAUAUCUUCGCACCUGGUGGAACAUUGAUAUACUUGGCACCUAUGCCUAUGUGGUGUUUCCGCGGAUUAUUUACACCCUGAUUUCGUACAGCAAUGAUUGGUGCUUGUAUCGCAUUUGCCGGCUUUAUGGAAUGCGCUUUGAGAUCCGGCUACUGGCGCUGGGUAGCUCCUGGGUGCUGCUUGUCUUCGGUACCCGCACCUUCUCCAACAGCUUGGAGAUGGCCAUGUGCUCCUGGCUGCUCUGUCUGGUGUCCGAGUGCAUGCUGCGCACUAAUACGGUGGUUUACAAAAAGGAGUUCCUCGAGGAGAAAUACGAAAAGGCAGAAUCUAUCAGCGAGCGUGUACGAAUUUGGAAGCUGAAGAACGCCCUGCCAGCCCACAAUCUCCAGCACCUGCUGGCCAUGUCGACGAUAUGUGUGGCCGGUGUCUUCAAUCGUCCGACUUUCCUUCUUUUUGGAGCUCCAAUGGUUUUCUUCUGGCUGUUGCGCGGCAUGGGCACGCGGACUGUUACGUUUCGGGACUUUAACCUGCGGAUCGCACUCUUCUGCCUUUGUUCCCUUCCGGCUCUCAUUGUGUUCAUCUUCUGUGAUUCAUUGUAUUACCAACAUCUCACCGUGGGAGAACUCCACAUGAUGCACCUGUCCAUUGACAACUUCGUUUUUACGCCGUGGAACUUUAUCAAAGCGAAUCUGGACUCUGCACAGACUGCCAGUCAUGGAGUGCAUCCGUGCUAUGUACAUUUAAUGGUGAACAUGCCGAUGCUUUUUAAUGUCCUGGCCUUGGCAUCGCUGGGGGCCUUUGCCCAGCUGCUGCUGCGCUUCUUUCAGGCUGAGUACCAAGUGCUGCCCCGCUUCCAGAGCAUUGUGUCUCUCAUGUCAGGUGCCAUAUUCGUGCCGCUCUUUUUUCUGUCGCUGAUCAACCAUCAGGAACCUCGCUUUUUGCUGCCUGUGACGCUCCCAUUGUUGGUCCUUCACGCUCCUAAACUGGUGACCGGUUUCAGCGCAAAGUAUCCCUUCCAAAAGGAACACCCUCUGCUGCGCCGCUUUUACGAUACACUGCUCUCAAGCAAGGCCUCAGCCCCAUAUCUGCUAAAGAUCUGGUACGUGAGCAAUGUGGCGCUGACCCUUUUCUUUGGAUUCAUACACCAGGCAGGGGUUUACCCUCUGGCUGCGGAUAUGUCGCAUGUAGUGGCCACAAAGCCAGCUGCCACGCACGUUCACCUGAUGACCUCCCACAUGUACAGCUUGCCCCUGCACUUGGUCAACAUUCCGAGCUCCCGAGUGCUGCACUUCAACAUGCAGACCCACCAGCGCUAUCGCCGGCAGCGGGACUUCUAUUUGUACGAAUACGGGGGCCUCUCCUUGGACUUUCUGAUGCAAAAGGUGAAACUCAUCAGUGGCAACUGCGAGGUGAAGUUGUCGGGUCCAAAUCGUCUGCGCUACAAGCUGUAUUUGGCCAUUCCUGCAUCGCUCAGUGGCGAGCUUCACGAGGCGCUGGCGCGCUCCAAUGCUAGCAGUUACCUGAAUUUCGAGCUACUCAAUGUCUUCUAUCCGCAUCUAUCGACGGAGGCAUUUCCUCGCCUGCAGGGAAGGCAUCCCUGCGACUUGGAUGCUCCGCACUGGACGGACGACGAUCUCCGAGGGACCUGCGCCGUGGAGCAGCCGCCCUCAUUCAGUGUUUCCUAUCUCAAUAAGCAAUUUAGCUCGUUCGUCCACCAACUAGGUCUGGCGCUCUACGAGAUCGAUGUGCGGCGAAAGAAACCGCGGUCAGUGGAACCAAAGACGUCCGCCCUGCCAGAAACUCCGGUGUAGGACUGGCCGUACACUUAUUCAAAGUGCCUUGAACCAAAGUUGUAGGCUAAUAUUAAAUACUUUGCAGUUUUAUUUCAACUCUAGUCUUGUGACAUUUCUGCACAAACUUUACUUUAUAAUUACUUCUAGUCAUUAGCAAAUAACUAUGCAUAAUUGUAACUUAAGUUUUGACAAAUUCUCGGGUCUAUACGUAAUAACUAAUUUAGGACAAUAAUGGUUUUGGCAGACGGAAAGGCGAUCCCAUUCAAGGGGUGUCGCCAUCGAUCGAAGGGAAUGCUGGCAGAGAGUAAUCCAUUUGACACGCUGUUGGCUGGUAAUACCCGACAAACAUCUGAGGCGCGGCAUCCGCGUUCAAUGAACGUUACUGGGCAGAAAUCUGGUUGCGGGCGCAAUUGUGUUCUAAUUUGGAUUUUGUAUUUGGGCUGCCUAAGCCGGAAACUUGUUUGGCAAUCGGUGGCGACAAUUGGCC